rnacentral:rRNA from 1 species
UACAUGUGGGGCAAGCGUUGUUCGGAAUUACUGGGCAUAAAGGGUGCGUAGGUGGUUUGAUAAGUCAUCUGUGAAAUCUCUGGGCUCAACCCAGAGUCUGCAGGCGAAACUGUCGGGCUUGAGUAUGGGAGAGGUGAGUGGAAUUUCCGGUGUAGCGGUGAAAUGCGUAGAUAUCGGAAGGAACACCUGUGGCGAAAGCGGCUCACUGGACCAUUACUGACGCUGAUGCACGAAAGCUAGGGGAGCAAACAGG